GAUGCGGACCGUGCAUUUACCUCGGAGGAUGGCUUACUCGGUUCUGCCUGUGCUCCUACCAAAGUGCAAGGUGACUACGGGGAUGUGCUCCCUCCAUCAGUGGCCUGUGACUCUGCUGUCGGCCCGCGACCUUCUGUCCUGCGCAGCAGAGCCCGCUGCAGAGUCCCCCAAGAAAUGAGGUAUUAACACUUAUCGUGUGGAGCUGAAUUCUUCAAGGAAUAGUAAUCCUUAAACAGACGGAGGAGAAGUCGUCUUCAAAGCAUUAAAAUCCAGCGGUGUGCUCCCGGCCCAUCCUUCUUCACCAGCCACGCGCCGUCUGGACGGAUUUGGGUCGGAAGAAUCCUGACGAAAUGUCUCCUCGAAAGAUGCCGUCUCCUGUGGGGCACUGGUCUAGCCCAGAGCUUCUGUCAAAGGCCGUCCAAACAAGAAUCGGAGGCCGCUCCUUUCUGUCUCUAAGCCUCCCCCAUUGUCUUGCUGCUUCCAGAAUAACAGAUGCCGUCACUGGUGCCAGAGCGGCCGCACCACUUGGCAUUCCCACAAUGCAACAAUUUCUAAUAGCUUCUAGAGCUCCGGAGACAAUGACCCUUGGUGGUUACGUGUGGUGCCGAGAAAGGACAGAAAAAGGACAGAGACACAUGCCGAGAGAGAUGGAGAGACACGGAGAGAGAGAGAACUGCACAGAGGUCAGAAGACACAGAGGAAGAGACCCAGGGCAGAGAGGAGAGCGCGUUCCAGAGAGAACCAGGGAGAGACGGAGGGGCGGGCUGCCGAUCGCGGGAGCUACAGGGCUGCAGGGUGGCGAGACCGAUCCCCACAGAGGCUGCUGCUUCUUCCUCUGGAGCCGGGCGCCAGUGGCACAGCUGUGGGCACCGGCCCAGCCCCCAGACUCCCGGGAAGCCAGGAGCCGCAGCCCGGUGGCCAGCUCGGGAGUCCCGCGGCCGUCUGUCUGCUCUGUCUCCCAAGCUGUCCGUCUCCCGCGAAGAGCGGCGGCUGCCCUCCUUGCCCUCCUCGUGGGCAGGGGACCCAGCCUGGGCUCCUGCUCGGAGGGGUGUGGGGGAGGUAUGGGAGGUGCUCACCUGCGGAAGGCUCCAGGCCCGAGCACUGCACUCUCAGAACAGACACCCUCCCCGGGAAGUGAGAGGGAACAGAUGUGCUUUUAUGGUCUCCAUGGAGAUCCGUCAACCUGGCAACCUCGAUGGGCGCUGGGCCUGGGCUUCGAAGCUUUUGUCUUCCCAGAGGCUCUCUCGGAGCGCGAACACUGAGAGCAGAUCUCGGCCAGGCGUCCACAGGGGCCGGGGCUUUCCUCCCGGCUGCCAGGUCACCCCAAAGCAGGGGCAGAUGUGGGGGGGGGGCCCUUGGUGAGCUCUGUCUGGUUAAAGAAGGUUCGGCUCUACCUUUUGUCUUUCCACUCGCCGGGAGGAAACGCGCGGCUCCAGCCCCGGUUACCAUAUGAAGGCCCCCCAGUUCUGGCCUGGAAGAAAGUGAUGAAAGAACAAGGCUGGCACGUCACAAAUGUGUCACAAAAAGCACGUCGGAGAGGCCGAGGCAGGUAACCGGGGGAGCGCGUGGCCAUUCAUUCAACCGGUCAGCAAACAGCAGAGCCCCUUGCUGGCUACCAGCCGUGAACGCCCCCAGAUCCAGCUCUUCCUCAUGUUGCUGACACGCGUGGGAGAGAUGGACGCUUGACACCCUGGCAAAUGACUCGAGCCAAGGAAACAAGACGAAAUCUUGGAC
rnacentral:lncRNA from 1 species